CGUUCUUAAACGUCCGUACAUGCACGAGCACUUUUUCUUGAGAGGUUAAUAGUCCACGUCGCACCCCUCAACCAUGGCUGUCGCAGAAUAACGAAAACCAUACUCGGAGGUCAUGCUUUGCCGUUGGACAGGCGCAGGAACACACUUCAUGAGUCGCAGAUGAGUCAUAGAUGUCAUGUUUUGGGUAAUACAUACAGAUACUCGAAAUAUUUCUUUUAACAUUUUGCCCUUACCGCUGCGUUCUUCUUGCUCAUAUAUCGCAGAAAUAUGGCAUUUUCGAGUCUACUUCGUUCAAUGUGACACUUGGCACAGUUACUAAACUGACAUUUAAGGGGUAAAUGGAAAGUUGCCUUCGUGUAUGGGAAUGCGAGCUGCUUCUAAGAUGGCACUAGCACAAACUUGUGCUGCGGCCUUUCGGCAGCCGCAGAAAGCCGCUGUUCACGGAGGGUUGUCACCUGCUACCCGCUCCUCUGGAACCCGCGGCACUUUGUGGCUGCUUUCUGCAGCUGCCAUCAGGCGGCGGCACAAGUUUAUGAUAGCGCCAUUUGGGCAGCAGCUUGCAUUCCUAUAAACGAAGAUAACUGUCCCUUUUUUCCUUAAAAACAAGGAACCAAUUGUGCCAAUUUUACAUUGAACGAGGUAGACUCCGAAAUGCCAACUUUCAGCGAAAUUUGAGCAUGGACAAUGCAGCAGUAAGCGCAAAAUCUCGCACAAAAUCUUGUGCAAAAGCAUGCACAUUUUAAGCGAAAUGUGCACGUCCCUGUCUCGUCUGAUACGGCACCAUGGGCGAAACACUGAAUCUUGUCGUCACCAAUCAGAUGCUAAAAUGUGCACAAACUUGCUUAUCUUGACAGGGAAAAAAACACUAGAUGUCUGUUUGGCUUUGCUUCCAGCGUGUGCCGAGAUAUUGUGCUGAUGUUCCCGAAAAAGUGGCGCUUUGUAGUUAGCUUUACUGUCCGUAGGCGACGCGACAAUGAGCGGGUACCCAAAGCUGUUCGUCAAGCACUGCGUCUGGGAUCUAAAACAUGGGACAUAUAGGGAGUUUAGUAACUGGUGUGAUUGUAGAGCUCUGAGUGAAGCCACGCAAAUGGUUUGAAUGAGCUUUGAACAGACGUAGUGGUUGUCAUCGAACGUAUGUUCCGGUGCGGCUGCUGUUUCCAGUGUAGGGUCUGACAAAUGCAAGACAAAUGCAAGUUCCUUAUUAUAAACACGUUGCUUUCACUUUCCUGGACGCUUUCUCAUUGACUCAAGACCACUGACAUCGUGCCCAAACAUCAUGGCCGGCCAACUUCGAAGUGUUGUCAAUAGCAAUAGGAUAAAACUGGUGCCAUUAAACCACCAGUGACUCUUCAGACUGAUGACACACACGAAGAAGUGGCUCACAGCAAGCGUGAUUAUUCUAAUCAAAACGUCGGUGUCAAUCCUGAACGCACGACAUUUCUCCAAGAUAGAAUCACUCGCGGAUCGGCUCAAUAGCAUGUUCCGGCGGAGCAGUCAUGAAACGACUGGUGCAGGGGGAUGGGGCAGGGGGCGUGAUCGAACAAUGCAUCAUGUGGCAACGCACCCUUUCUCCAGACGUUUCACUAGGUGUCUGCUAGGACUGUACGGUGACCAGCACGGCUUCCGUAGACAUUGACCGCUCAGACUAAGAAACUGGCACAAUCCAACAUUCAAGCUACAGUUAUGACACUGGUGUCCUUUUCUAAUGCCUGCAUGCAGAGAUUUCCAAGUUUCCUUUUUUUAUGUAUAAAGGUUCUUCAAGUAUAAAAUUGUAUCGUUCAACAAAAGCUGUCCUCGACAUGCGCGACCUAAUCUCAAGUUCGUAGCCUAAAGUGGCGUUAGAUAGGACGUAAUUCCACGUCAAAAGAAGUAACCGUCAACCAUCUCCUAAACACCAUACUUUACAAAUGUGAUUCGUUCGCACAAUCUAAAAUUAGCACGUGAUCAUCUUAAGUUCGCAGCAGAGUGUCCCAACUAAUUUAUUCUCGCUAUUAGCCAGCCGAGUGCAUCAAAAUUAUGUGUUUGACCUUACACAAACCAUGCGCGCUUCGCGAGAUUCAGGUCUCGAGCCAAUUCGUUCCCAUUCAUACUAUUGAAAACUUUCGCUUGUCCUAUGUCUACACUAUCUUUCAAAUCCCUUUUGCCCUUAUCCUAGUACGGGGUAGCCAGUCGGACCUUACUUGCCUGACUUCUUCGGUUAUUUUUCUGUCCGCGUGCGAGGUAGUUCAGUUCUGCGGAAGCCACUCGUCCGCAUUUAUUUCAUUGCACCACUUUUGGGCGGCAACGUCACGUGCAUUCUCGCAAUCGAUACUACUUGGCGAUCACACACAAGUUUUCUCUGCCAUAAUAUGAGAACGCAAACUUCACGGAUAAACUAACAUUGAAGAACAGAGCGUUAAUAUCAUAGCCUAGGUCAACGUAAAGAUAACCUGCAUCAUCUGCACCUGUUGUGCCGCUGGAGUAUACCAUUUCCUUCAGUCUCUUGUUAAAACCCAAGCAACCGUCAAGAAAUAUUUGAAGUUUUCUUUUUUUCUAGGCGAUGAGUGUAUAUUGUUUCACUUGAAUGGGGCCAAACAAUAAGAAUAUGAAUAUGAAAAUGCUCGUGGCUGUCUCGCAGAAUCUACGACUACGCAGAUGUUUCGCUAAAUGCCUUCAAUUUUCUGGCUCAACUCGAAAAAAGAAUGGAACGGAAACAUUUCCAGGCUCGAAUUCUUUAGUCUGAUCUAACAUGAAUAGCAAAAUGCUGCGAACUUUCCUCACGUGGUUUAUCGUCGCAAGAAAAAUGUGCUAUAUAACAAUGAUCGGUUGCCUAUUACCGGCAUUGAUUAUGUUGCUACAACAAAAAUGACAUCUACAUUCAUGUGAUCAACAAAAA